UCUUCUAUAAACCCUGAAUAAGGAAAACGCCUGAUUUGGUAGUGGAUUCGGGAACCUUAGCAAAAACAAAAACAAGAAUCACCGACUGAAAGAGAGAGUGAGAGUUCGAUCUUGGUCUCUGCUGUGGUUCUUCGUCUCACUUAGAUUGAUAGUGAGGAGGUUGUUGAUCGGCAUAGCCAGGUCUCAAUUUUCGUUUGUUUCCAGCUUGGAGGCAUAAAAGAUUGUAUCGGAAUUGCAAAGCUCUGAUUUUUGGUGUGGGUGGAGGCUGCUUUGUCUCUUUUCUACAGCUGUGAUCUAAAUUGGGAGUGUGAUCUGGAUUUCUAUAAUCAGUGGAUUGCUUCUUUUCUCUGCGGUCGUUUAAGGAGGAUUGAGAGGUUUUUGUUGCAUCUUUUGCAUUGGUUGGGUUAUAGUUUGAAAAAGGUCAGCACGAUUUUUUUCAGAGGGAUCUUGCAACAGGAGAAGGGAGAGACAGAAACACUGACAGUGAAGUGGAGGUCGAUAGCAAGGUUUGGAUCCGGUUUGGGAGGGAUCUUUCAGCAGGAGAAGAGAUGUCUGGCUCAAUUGCACUGUGAAAGUGAUAUUGGCUUAAUCACUUUCAAAAAUUGGACGCUUCUGGUCUUGAUCUUCUUCAUCAUCACUACUUUCCAAGCUGCUUAGUUUAUUGUAUCUACUCCUCCUUCUGUAGCACUCCGUCUUCAUGCUUCACCAAAAUGGAGAGAGAGAGAGAGACCCAGAUUACAAUACCAAAGAGAAAUAGGGGUGAAAGGCCAGGGAUUCAUGACCACCACCAAAAGUUGGUGUGGUUCAGAGGAUAAUUGUGUUUGGGUAGGUGAUCUGCUACAACUAAACCAAUUGUGCUUGGGUUUUGAAGAUAAUCGUCCUAGAUCAACCAGAAAACAGAAGAAGUGUUGCUGGUUUUCGGAUUUCAGUGAUUGAAGUUUUCAGUAUUGUGGAUUGGAGUAUCUCCCCGUUUUUGCUUUGUUGAUUGGAUUUUGCCGCAUCCAGCAUCGACUUAAUUAGGGAUAUUGUUUGUUGUGGAGUUUGCGAUUUCAGUAAUUGGUUGGGGAAGAGGUUGGAGGUCAGAUUUUCAUCAUGAAGCACAACUACAAUUAUCAGUUUUGGGUUUGGGAUCAAUUUUGGUCUUCAAUUAUCAAAAAACAAUUGUUUUCAAUCUAUAUCCUUAUUUAUUCAUUUAUACUUUUAAUAAUGGCUCUGCUUUUAAUAAUGGUUUUGUUUUGGUUGUGGCUCAUGGAAGCACAAAUUUCCGCGUAAUGUGCACAUUAUUUGGAGUCCAGGAGAAAUUCAAGAAGUUUCCUGGGAAGUUCAACCAAAGUUCAGUUGGGAGUCCUUGAGUACAAUUUCGCAUCCAACUGAACAACACUACCAACUGAACUUCCUUGCACUCCCUUUUAGAUUAGAUCUUUACUUCAAUUUCCAAAACUUUUGUCUGCUUCAUUUUCAGUUUCAUUAGUAUCAUAUUAACUACCGCAGCAAAGCGCGCUGAGUUUAGGUAGUGUCUGAAUAAUUAUUGCGAUCUGAAUUAUUGAUGAGUGGUUCCUAAGGAGUAGCCUUGGGAGUUUGCAAAUGAGUGGUUCCUAAGGAGCAGACACAUUUAUUGAUAAAUUUUGUGAGGAGAAAAUGCAACAAUAACUUUCCCUCUCAGAGUUCAUGUUCUGGAUUUCUGGUAUGUGUUUUGAUUUGGGAAAGAACAUUUGUUGGUUUUUUGCUUAAUACAUUUUCGUAAUGAAGAAAAUUGUUACUGAUGCGGAUUUUGUAUGUUUGAUUCAGUUUCAGGGUCGGACCUAAUUUUCAAGUUUGCAACUUUAUAAUCCCAAAAGCCAGAAGAGAUUUAGGGCUUGACAUAGUCUAAAAGCCAUGGGAGAAGAUCAUGUGUACACAAAAGAUCGGAGGGUUGAAUCCAUUCCAGAUGAGCUCCUUGCAUUCUCUGGCUCACACCCACUUAACAGUAAUUGGCUCAGAUUCUGUAUGCAAGCAGGUCUGCCAUUACCCUGAUCCUGUAACAAGGUUUAACAUUGCACCAGACUUGAUGAAUCAAGCAAAAGAUUAUUUGAACAAAACUAUAUAUGUUUGUUAUAUUGUUGGCUAGAGUGAGUGUUUUAAGGCUAGAGUGAGUGUUUUAAAAUGCGCAAAAAAAAAAAAAAAAAUGUAUCUUCUAAUGUUCCAAUUAUGUUUAUUCGACCCAAAAGUUGUGGUUGCACGGUUGUGUGCAGUCCUGCCUUACUUUGAAUGCCAAUUUAGGAUGGCCUGCCUUUGGAAUGUUGAUUUAUGUGAUUCUGUAUUUGUCCUA